rnacentral:tRNA from 1 species
GUAAAUAUAGUUUAAAUAAAACAUUAGACUGUGAAUCUAAAAAUAGGUAAUGAACCCCCUUAUUUACC